rnacentral:rRNA from 1 species
AUUGAACGCUGGCGGCAGGCCUAACACAUGCAAGUCGAGCGAGCGGCGGACGGGUGAGUAAUGUCUGGGAAACUGCCGGAUGGAGGGGGAUAACUACUGGAAACGGUAGCUAAUACAGCAUACCAUCAGAUGUGCCCAGAUGGGAUCAGCUAGUAGGUGGGGUAACGGCUCACCUAGGCGACGAUCACUAGCUGGUCUGAGAGGCUGACCAGCCACACGUGAACUGAGACACGAUCCAGACUCCUACGGCAGGCAGCAGUGGUGAAUAUUGCACAAUGGGCGCAAGCCUGAUGCAGCCAUGCCGCGUGUGUGAAGAAGGCCUUCGGGUUGUAAAGCACUUUCAGCGGGGAGGCGUUACCCGCAGAAGAAGCACCGGCUAACUCCGUGCCAGCAGCCGCGGUAAUGC